rnacentral:rRNA from 1 species
GUAGGGGGCUAGCGUUGUCCGGAUUUAUUGGGCGUAAAGAGCGCGUAGGCGGCCGAGUAAGUCCGACGUGAAAUCUGGAGGCUUAACCUCCAGCGGUCGUUGGAAACUACCCGGCUAGAGUCCGGAAGAGGAGAGUGGAAUUCCUGGUGUAGCGGUGAAAUGCGCAGAUAUCAGGAAGAACACCGAUGGCGAAAGCAGCUCUCUGGGACGGUACUGACGCUGAGGCGCGAAAGCGUGGGGAGCGAACAGGAUUAGAUACCCUGGUAGUCCACGCCGUAAACGAUGGGUGCUAGGUGUGGGCGGUGUCGACUCCGCCCGUGCCGCAGCUAACGCAUUAAGCACCCCGCCUGGGGAGUACGGCCGCAAGGCUAAA